CUUUCCCACCAUUUUUUUAAACCCGUUCAGAAAUGUAUAGUAAAAUCAAAAAACGUCUACUUUACUUUAUUUUUAAUUCAUUAGGUGUACAAUUUAUUUUUAUACAAAAAUAUACAAAAACACUUAUGCAAGCGAAUCGUGCCCACAGCUAAAGUUUAGCUGCUAAACUGUGAACACUAGGUGGAUACGUUAGCCGAGUGCUAACGUGACUAACUGAUGAAACAAUACAGUUUGUAAACCAAAAUAUGUCUACUGUAAUGUUUGAAGAACGACAGACAAAAGACGCUUGGUCUUAACUUUUAAUCAGAACGCAGAACAGUUGUAUCACAGGAGCACCAGCCGAAAUCACUCAUCUCUCCCGCAUUAACCCUGUAACUGCCAGUGCAGCACAAUAAACAGCAGUUUCACAAUUAUUAUAAAGUCUGUGUGCUACACUACAUUCUUUAUUAUUAAACAAAAAGUAAUUAGAACAACGUCAGUCUACAAUAAUCAACAUAUUCUUAGGUUCACUGCGAAUUUUAAGAACUACUUCAGUAAGACAGUAAUAUCGUGCUUUACCUGGAAACCUAAAGCUGCACUAGGUAUACAUCACAUAUUGGCACAAAUUUUUUUUAUUUUGAGCACUCAAUUGAAAAUGUACACCUAACGUAUCAAUCGUACUACUUACAGGUCGUGGUUCAGAGAGCUUGUUAAUCCAAAUUAAGAAGAUUAGAAGCCAACGAAGAUAAAAGCCCAGAUUAGAGAAGCAGUUCUUGAUAAAAUGACAAGCACACAACAAAAGGCUCGAAUUGUAUUUCUGUGGUAUCCUUGAACACCGCGUCUUCUCAACAUGAUGUAAACGCACUAAUAGCAAAAGUGUUUGUGGGCAGAUCAGACUCUGUUCGUAUUUCGCGGGCAGGCGGGGAUUAUGCAAAUGUGUUACCCAGUGACGUAUACCGGUAACAGACAAAAGAUUUGAAACUCGUAAAGGCGACUCUGAGUCGACUCUCUCUUUUGAGAGACAAUAUCUUUAUUUAUCAUGCACUUUUUUGAUUAACAACUUUGCAGAUUGUUUUCAUUUAAGGAUAGCUACGUUAUAAACUGCAAAAGAGAGAUUUUUCAAAAACCCAUAUGACCUGCUCUUUAAUUAAAGUAGUGGUUAAAAUGUUAAUUUGUCCUGCAUUAUUUAGUCAA
ensembl:lncRNA